CCUGGUCUCUACCUUCACCAGGGACACUGCUUGAAAAGAGAAGACUGUCCCUGUUUCCAUCGCAGACGUAGCUACCAACCCGGGGACACGAUCCAGAUAAAAUGCAACACCUGUGUGUGCAGGGCAGGUCGGUGGGAAUGUACAGGUGAGAGAUGCGCAGGCCAAUGCACUCUGAUGGGAGCACUGCAGGUGACCACAUUCGACAAAAAACGCUAUGCACUGUCUGGUGGAAACUGUCCUUUCGUUGUUGUAGAGGACUUUGUUGACAGAAAGCUGGAGGUGGGAGUGCGGUGUGGAGAG